rnacentral:rRNA from 1 species
UACGAAGGGGGCUAGCGUUGCUCGGAAUCACUGGGCGUAAAGCGCACGUAGGCGGAUUGUUAAGUCAGGGGUGAAAUCCUGGAGCUCAACUCCAGAACUGCCUUUGAUACUGGCGAUCUUGAGUCCGGGAGAGGUGAGUGGAACUGCGAGUGUAGAGGUGAAAUUCGUAGAUAUUCGGAAGAACACCAGUGGCGAAGGCGGGUAGCUGGGCCGACACUGACGCUGAGGCGCGAAAGCCAGGGGAGCGAACGGG